rnacentral:lncRNA from 1 species
CGACAAAUUCUUCCUAUUUUCACAUAUAUAUUUUUUGGUAAAAUUUUGAUGGAGAAAGUUACUUUCCAAACAUAAAUAGAAAGGAGAAAAUAGUUUAUUUUAAGUUCACAAGUAAAUGACGUGAAUGAAAUGGGACAUCUUAGUAUUUGGACAGACCAACAUUAACAUACAUGUAUCCCUUAACCAAAAAAAAAAAACAUUAACAUACAAGUACUAAUCACAAUCCAUUU